rnacentral:rRNA from 1 species
UACGUAGGGUGCGAGCGUUAAUCGGAAUUACUGGGCGUAAAGCGUGCGCAGGCGGUUCGUCGUGUCUGAUGUGAAAGCCCCGGGCUCAACCUGGGAAUGGCAUUGGAAACUGGCGGACUAGAGUGUGGCAGAGGGGGGUGGAAUUCCGCGUGUAGCAGUGAAAUGCGUAGAGAUGCGGAGGAACACCGAUGGCGAAGGCAGCCCCCUGGGCUAACACGUGACGCUCGAGGCACGGAAAGCGUGGGGAGCGAAACAGGAUUGAGAUACCC